GGGGGUGUAGCUCAGGCGUAGAGCACUUGCCUGGAAUGCAUGAGUCCUGGGUUCAAUCCCCAGCCCUG
rnacentral:tRNA from 1 species